UACGUAGGGUGCGAGCGUUAAUCGGAAUUACUGGGCGUAAAGCGUGCGCAGGCGGUUUUGUAAGACAGGUGUGAAAUCCCCGGGCUCAACCUGGGAACUGCACUUGUGACUGCAAGGCUAGAGUGCGGCAGAGGGGGGUAGAAUUCCACGUGUAGCAGUGAAAUGCGUAGAGAUGUGGAGGAAUACCGAUGGCGAAGGCAGCCCCCUGGGUCGACACUGACGCUCAUGCACGAAAGCGUGGGGAGCAAACAGGAUUAGAUACCCUGGUAGUCCACGCCCUAAACGAUGUCAACUAGGUGUUGGGGGAGGAGACUUCCUUAGUACCGCAGCUAACGCGUGAAGUUGACCGCCUGGGGAGUACGGCCGCAAGGUUGAA
rnacentral:rRNA from 1 species